rnacentral:rRNA from 1 species
GACGAACCGUGCGAACGUUGUUCGGAAUCACUGGGCUUAAAGGGCGCGUAGGCGGACGACCAAGUCAGGGGUGAAAUCUUUCGGCUCAACCGGAAAAUAGCCUUCGAUACUGGCCGUCUAGAGGGAGGUAGGGGCGUGUGGAACUUCCGGUGGAGCGGUGAAAUGCGUUGAUAUCGGAAGGAACUCCGGUGGCGAAAGCGACACGCUGGAUCUCAUCUGACGCUGAGGCGCGAAAGCCAGGGGAGCGAACGGG